rnacentral:rRNA from 1 species
GAUGAACGCUGGCGGCGUGCCUAAUACAUGCAAGUCGAGCGAACAGACGAGGAGCUUGCUCCUCUGACGUUAGCGGCGGACGGGUGAGUAACACGUGGAUAACCUACCUAAAAGACUGGGAUAACUUCGGGAAACCGGGGCUAAUACCGGAUAAUAUAUUGAACCGCAUGGUUCAAUAGUGAAAGACGGUUUUGCUGUCACUUAUAGAUGGAUCCGCGCCGCAUUAGCUAGUUGGUAAGGUAACGGCUUACCAAGGCAACGAUGCGUAGCCGACCUGAGAGGGUGAUCGGCCACACUGGAACUGAGACACGGUCCAGACUCCUACGGGAGGCAGCAGUAGGGAAUCUUCCGCAAUGGGCGAAAGCCUGACGGAGCAACGCCGCGUGAGUGAUGAAGGUCUUCGGAUCGUAAAACUCUGUUAUUAGGGAAGAACAAAUGUGUAAGUAACUAUGCACGUCUUGACGGUACCUAAUCAGAAAGCCACGGCUAACUACGUG